rnacentral:rRNA from 1 species
AUGGCGCCAUGGAUGUGGGUGGUGGUGCUGCUCCUUCCGGCAAGGUCCAGUAAGAAACGGCGCGAACGGGAGGCUGUAGGGAGUCGGGGAUGCUGCUGCUUGCUGGCGUCGGGAUUCCCUGGAGAAGAACGAGAGAGAGAAAAGUUCAGAGAGACAAAGAAAGAACUAGUGGGAGGGAGAGACCACGGGAAGGAGAGGGACGGCGCUCAUCUGCUGGCCGCGGGCGCGGUGCUCGGGGAGGAGCUCGAUGCGGCUGCGGGCUGGCUCCUCGGCCAGGAGGAGGGAGGAGUCGAGGGAGACAGUUGGGUGGAUGGGCAAAACGAGGUGGACCUGGGAAGAUCCCAAGGGGAAUGGUGA